rnacentral:lncRNA from 12 species
CUGGGGGAGGCCCCCCAGCCCAAGGCGCUUUGUUACAGCAGCUCCAGGAACCUAAUAAAGGUCGAACAGAGAUGCGUGAAAAUGACUUCCGGAACACGCUCUUCCAAGAUGAGGCAGGCAGAAAAGGUCAUGGCACAAAGGAUGCUCAGAGAACAGAAGACUGAAGGAUAAAACAGACAGACUGAAGGAUAAAACAGACAGA